rnacentral:ncRNA from 1 species
GAGUAGAAAUGACGCGUUAAGUACCGGAUGGAUGGGAGGUUGCCGCCGGGCGAAGGAGAGAUCCGCGAUGUCAUUUCGCAUCCGCUGC